GAGGGUACAGAUCAGUGAUAGAGUGUGUGCUUAGCAUGCACAAGGUUCUGGGUUCAAUCCUCAGUACCUCCU
rnacentral:tRNA from 1 species